AAUUUUCAGCGAUGGAUGUCUUGGCUCUCGCAUCGAUGA
rnacentral:rRNA from 1 species